UCCCCGGUAGCUCAGUUGGUAGAGCGGCGCUCUGUUAAAGCGAUGGUCGUAGGUUCGAGUCCUACCCGGGGAG
rnacentral:tRNA from 1 species